rnacentral:tRNA from 1 species
UGGGAGGUCGUCUAACGGCAGGACUGCGGACUCUGGAUCCGCCAAUGGUGGUUCGAAUCCACCCCUCCCAGCCA